CACCCCCCCUAGCUUUUUCCGCCUAUAUACCACCGUCGCCAGCUUACCCUGUGAAGGACUUAUAGUAAGCACAAUCGGCACAGCCCAAAACGUCAGGUCGAGGUGUAGUGCAUGGGAGGGGAAGAAAUGGGCUACAUUCGCUGCAAAUCAGCGAAUACGAAUAAUACAUUGAAACAUGUAAUUGAAGGAGGAUUUAGCAGUAAGCGGGAAGUAGAGCGUUCCGCUGAAGCCGGCUCUUAAGCGCGCACACACCGCCCGUCACCCUCCCCGAGCAACUGGACCUUAAUUCUUCUUAAACCCUAACAACCGCGAAGGAGAGGAAAGUCGUAACAUGGUAAGCGUACCGGAAGGUGCGCUUGGUCAAA
rnacentral:rRNA from 1 species